GGAAUUCGCCCUUAGAGUUUGAUUCUGGCUCAGGACGAACGCUGGCGGCGUGCUUAACACAUGCAAGUUGGACGGGAUUCGCUCUAUGAAGUGUUAUAGCGAAUUAGAGCGAUGAGAGUAGCGGACGGGCGAGUAACGCGUGAGUAACCUGCCCUUUGCUGGGGGAUAACAUCGGGAAACCGGUGCUAAUACCGCAUAAGACCACAGUGCCACAUGGUACGGCGGUCAAAGCUCCGGCGGCAAAGGAUGGACUCGCGUCCAAUUAGCUAGUUGGUAGGGUAAUGGCCUACCAAGGCGACGAUUGGUAUCCGAACUGAGAGGUUGAUCGGACGCAUUGGGACUGAGACACGGCCCAGACUCCUGCGGGAGGCAGCAGUGGGGAAUAUUGCGCAAUGGGGGCAACCCUGACGCAGCAACGCCGCGUGAAGGAUGAAGGCUUUCGGGUUGUAAACUUCUUUGAUCGGGGACGAAGAUGACGGUACCCGAGGAACAAGCAACGGCUAACUCCGUGCCAGCAGCCGCGGUAACACGGGGGUUGCAAGCGUUGUCCGGAAUUACUAGGCGUAAAGGGCAGGUAGGCGGAUCAGUAAGUUUGAUGUCAAAUCCAUCGGCUCACCCGAUGAUCGGCAUCAGAUACUGCUGAUCUGGAAUACGGUUGAGGAAGACAGAAUUCCUGGUGUAGCGGUGGAAUGCGCAGAGAUCAGGAGGAAUACCAAAUGCGAAGGCAGUCUUCUAGGCCGUUAUUGACGCUAAACUGCGAAGGUGUGGGGAUCAAACAGGAUUAGAUACCCUGGUAGUCCACACAGUA
rnacentral:rRNA from 1 species